GCGACCGGCGCACGGGUGCGUAACGCGUAUGCAACCUACCCAUUACUGGAGGAUAGCCCGGGGAAACUCGGAUUAAUACCCCAUAGUAUCAUAGAUUGGCAUCAUGAAAUGAUUAAAGAUUUAUUGGUAUAGGAUGGGCAUGCGUUAGAUUAGUUAGUUGGUGAGGUAACGGCUCACCAAGGCGACGAUCUAUAGGGGUUCUGAGAGGAUGAUCCCCCACACUGGCACUGAGAUACGGGCCAGACUCCUACGGGAGGCAGCAGUGGGGAAUAUUGGACAAUGGGGGCAACCCUGAUCCAGCCAUGCCGCGUGCGUGAAGAAGGCCUUAGGGUUGUAAAGCGCUUUCAGCGGGGAAGAUAAUGACGGUACCCGCAGAAGAAGCCCCGGCUAACUCCGUGCCAGCAGCCGCGGUAAGACGGAGGGGGCUAGCGUUGAUCGGAAUUACUGGGCGUAAAGCGCGCGUAGGCGGAUUGAUUAGUCAGAGGUGAAAUCCCAGGGCUCAACCCUGGAACUGCCUUUGAUACUGUCAGUCUAGAGACCGAGAGAGGUGAGUGGAAUUUCCAGUGUAGAGGUGAAAUUCGUAGAUAUUGGAAAGA
rnacentral:rRNA from 1 species